rnacentral:rRNA from 1 species
UACGGGAGGCAGCAGUGGGGAAUAUUGCACAAUGGGCGAAAGCCUGAUGCAGCUAUGCCGCGUGUAUGAAGAAGGCCUUAGGGUUGUAAAGUACUUUCAUCGGGGAGGAAAAAACCAAAACUAAUAAUUUUAUUUCUUGACGUUACCCGAAAAAGAAGCACCGGCUAACUCCGUGCCAGCAGCCGCGGUAAUACGGAGGGUGCUAGCGUUAAUCAGAAUUACUGGGCGUAAAGAGCACGUAGGUGGUUUUUUUAAGUCAGAUGUGAAAUCCCUGGGCUUAACCUAGGAACUGCAUUUUGAAACUGAAAUACUAGAGUAUCGUAGAGGGAGGUAGGAAUUCUAGGUGUAGCGGUGAAAUGCGUAGAUAUCUGGAGGAAUACCUGUGGCGAAAGCGGCCUCCUAAACGAAUACUGACACUGAGGUGCGAAAGCGUGGGGAGGCAACAGGGAUUAGAUACC